UGACGACAGAGGGGCCGCGGUGGACCAGGCCGAGAAAGCGGAAGGGCGAGGAUGGUAGUAACGCGAGAGCUAGAAGGAUGCGGAGAUCAGUGGGAAAAAUACCAGAAACAACAUUUUAAGAUGAAGAGACACAGGUGUUCUGAAGAUAAAUCAAUUUCCUUUGAGUACACAGGUCUGCAUGCCACCAGAAGAGAAAGGUGAUCAUCAGUAUCAUCCACUACAAACUCUACAACCUACAACGGUGACCUGCCUGCAAGAUGGAGUAGUGGCACAAAUGUUAUGGGGGUAAUGAACCACUUUUAAAAAUUGCAUUAAAGCCCACCCCAUGAGAUGAAACCCAUACCUGAUACUGAUAAAUUGGCCAAAAACCUGACACAAGAUAAGAGAUAUGACUAGAUGGAAACCUGCUACUAUUGUUGUGCUAAAGGAACACAGGAAUACACUAAUGCCUCAGGAUAGACACACUGCUGUACCUGUAGAUCAGUGCUUCAUUCAGCCUUCAUCAGAGAAACUUCUUGCUGUCUAUGGGAAUUAACACAGAAACCACAACUGGACAAUGUGGAGAGAGUGAGAGAACCUUUGCAACAUUCAUUCCUAAAUGGGAUGUCUUCAUCAAAGCUUUUCCUUCCUUCAGGAUUCUAGGACCUAUGCAGAAAAGAAGUCAGAAAGAGGGUAAGAGCCAGAGGUGGUGUAGAACUCCAAGACACAAGAGGAUCUAUAUUCAUGUGAACUCACAGGGAGAUUGUGACAGUAAAUACUCAAGACCAGCACGGGUUCAAACCAGAUGGGGUUCUAGCAUUGAGAAGUAGAAAAAGACAUGGGGUUACACCCUAACAAAGAAGCUAUCUGCAACUGUCAAAGAGAAAAUCAGUUUUCUCCAAUGAAAUCUUAAUGGGUAUAUCAACCACAUUCCAGUGUAGGCUCUGUGCCUAGGAGUAUCUGGCCAACACAAAAUCAGCUCUGUGGUAUUUUUAUGGAGCUUU